rnacentral:rRNA from 1 species
GCGGCGGACGGGUGAGUAAUGCCUGGGAAAUUGCCCUGAUGUGGGGGAUAACCAUUGGAAACGAUGGCUAAUACCGCAUAACGUCUACGGACCAAAGAGGGGGACCUUCGGGCCUCUCGCUUCAGGAUAUGCCCAGGUGGGAUUAGCUAGUUGGUGAGGUAAUGGCUCACCAAGGCGACGAUCCCUAGCUGGUCUGAGAGGAUGAUCAGCCACACUGGAACUGAGACACGGUCCAGACUCCUACGGGAGGCAGCAGUGGGGAAUAUUGCACAAUGGGCGCAAGCCUGAUGCAGCCAUGCCGCGUGUAUGAAGAAGGCCUUCGGGUUGUAAAGUACUUUCAGUCGUGAGGAAGGCGUUGAAGUUAAUAGCUUCNUCGNUUGACGUUAGCGACAGAAGAAGCACCGGCUAACUCCGUGCCAGCAGCCGCGGUAAUACGGAGGGUGCGAGCGUUA